CGCAGGCGAUACCCUUGUGCUGGCCACGAUGCGGACACUUUGGGGACACCCAGGGACUCCUGAGGUCUGGGAUUUGGUGACCACUCAGAUCCGCUGCCUGUACGGCUCAGGCGCCCAGGGCUCUCUCGCUCCCAGCCAGGUGAUGUCUGCUUCCUUCCGACGCAUGGAGCUAUGUUAGUGUUCCAGAGCAAAGGAAAUCCUGGAGAAGUGCUCUCAAGAGGAGCUUAGGAAAAGACACCCGCGAGGAUUCUGACAUGUCCUGCUGAGCAAGGCGGUCUCCUCACUGAGUUACAGAGCUGCGGUCCUGAUCCUUGGACAAAACCGAUCAUGUGAGCAAUGUUUGGGGUAAAUGACAUGGAGCCAUGGUCCUUCACCACGCAUCAGAAGUUGGACUCCUACAAAUCACAGCCACCCAAGACACUGCCACUGGGUAAUGAUAUAGGUUUCCGGAUGCCGGACAUAACUGUCACAAACUCCCUCAGGAAGGAUUUUAGGGCAGAGCAAACCUCCAAUUCAGGACCUAUUCUCUCUUGCUUUACACAACUCUAAGAAGCUUCAUUUUAUUUUGGCAACUCACAGGAAGUAGGAAAUAAAAUUAGGAGGAACAGGUGGUCUGGAAACACAGUAAGAGAUGGACGACAAUUGGCAUGAAGGAGGGCACGUGAUAUGAUGAGCACUGGGUGUUAUACACAACUGAUGAGUCAUUGAAUACUGCAUCUGAAACUAAUGAUAUACUCUAGGUUGGCUAAUUGAAUUUACAUUAAAAAAAGAGAGAGAUGGAUGACAACCAUGUGAUCCAGAAGAAAACAGAAGAAACGUGAAAAGCAAAAACAAGAACAAGAGAAGGGACAGAGUCCAGUAUAAACUGAUAGAGAGCCCAAGAAACUUCCUCUUCCUCUUAGAGAUACAUCAUGCUAGCCUAUUUACUUGCACUAUCUAAUUUAUUAUCACAUCAACCUCAGGACAGAGGUACUGUUAUAUCCUUUUUUUAAAAAAGAUUUAUUUAUUUAUUUUAGAGAGAGAGAGCGCGUGUGCGCACACAUGAGCGGAGGAGGGGCAGAGGGACAGAGAGACAGAAAGAAUCCUAAAGUCAACUCCCCAUUGGGCUCAGACCCCCAACGCAGGGCUUGAUCCCGGGACCCUGAGAUCAUGACCUGAGUCAAAACCAAGAGUCAGACACUCAACUGACUGAGCCACCCAGGUGUGCUGGUACUAUUAUAUUCUGUAUUUUACAGAUAAAAAGCAACAUUAAGAAAUGUUGCUAACAUCACCCAGUUGGGAAGGUAAUCCCCAGGAACAUUGUCCCAUUGUCCCAAGAUCUAGUACUGGCUGUGUGCCUAGGUGUGCAUGUGACCCAGGGAGAGGGAUAAGCAAGACCCUGCACCUCUUGGUUAAAUAGCCAAGAAAGCACACAGUGCAUUUUGGAAAUUUACCAACUUCCACACAAGAUGGGAAAAAUAAAAAGUUUGUAAUCACAUUAAACAGCUUCAAGUUUCUAGAAAAUUUAUAUGCAUUGAAGUACAGGUAUAAAUGUUUGGAACUCCAAGAAAUUUUACAAACCAGAAACACAGAGAUGUUACAGCAGUAGUUAAAUUAAUGGAUUGAUUUAUCUUGAAGCAUUAUGUGGUAACUUUGCGAUGAUAUUGUUGUUGCCUAUUCUCUCCACUCAGCCUGGAUUUUUUUUUCUGUAGUUUUCUAGAAUAUUCAGUGAGGCAGUGGACUGCCAGAGCCAGCAAGCUCUACUCAAGAAUCUAAUUCUCUGUCCUUUUUCCCCCAUAACUGAAGAUUGGAUCAGCUAGGGCUGGGUUUCCCCAUCACAUCCUAUUGAUGACAGUGACUAGUAAAGAAAUGAUGUGUGCAUUUGUCUCUUCCUGCAAAAAAAGAACCUGAUGGGACCCCUUAAAGUGGAUAAAUUCUCCAUGAUGAAUGUCUCCCCUAAUUCUUUCUGAGGCUUAGGGAUUUGGGGAAGGUAAAUGCUUCAUCAUCAGAAAUGACACUUUGGAAGUCACCCGAGGAGCAUGUUACCUGUCUGAGACUCUGUCUUCUAAGCCCAUCUGAGAGUCAGAAAAUAGAGAAUCCAAGUUAGGAGUCACCGUCAGGCACAUCCAGUACAAUCUGGGGCAAUUUAUGGAGGGACAAAUAACCCUGCACAAUUCAUCAAGUCCUUAGGCCUUUGGUAAAUAACUUUUUUUUUGAGAGAGAGAGAGGGGGAGAGAGAGCGAGCAGGUGGGCAGGGACAGAGUGAAAGAGAGAAUCUUAAGUAGGCUCCACGAUCCCUGAGAUCACGACCUGAGCCAAAACCAAGAGUCAGAUGCUUAACCGAGCCACCCAGGUGCCCCAGUAAAUAACUUUUGGUGCUCAUAGUCCUCACUCUGAAUGACAAGCGAUGUUCAAUAUGGAAACGGUUAAGAUAAAGAAAAACUUUUGCUACUCAAAGAACUUACCUUCAGCUCUCCAGAAAACUUAGCUAUCCAGCAAAGAUUCGUAUCCUGAUCAUUCCAAUGAACCACAGUUUUAUUCUAUUGUGCUUUUGGAAGAAAGCAUCUUUUGUUGUGCUGGUGGAGAGAAUCUGGACCACAUGAACUAGUCUCACCUGGCAUGACGUUUCUUCUGUGCCUUCAACAAUUUCACAGCAUAUUGAUUCUUCAUUUCAGCCUCAGACACAUCAGUUAAUUAGCUAAUCUGGGUUUUGAUUCACAUGUAUUAAACACCAUCUUCUUUGAGCAUCCAGAAA